rnacentral:rRNA from 1 species
AACAUUUAAAGUUCGUUGAGAGAAGAGUGAAAUUUGGUGAGCUAGCGAUAGUGAAUCAAAUGAAGGUCAAGCUACAACGGGCUCACGGUGGAU